rnacentral:rRNA from 1 species
CGAAUGCUGACAUAAGUAACGAUAAAGCGGGUGAAAAGCCCGCUCGCCGGAAGACCAAGGGUUCCUGUCCAACGUUAAUCGGGGCAGGGUGAGUCGACCCCUAAGGCGAGGCCGAAAGGCGUAGUCGAUGGGAAACAGGUUAAUAUUCCUGUACUUGGUGUUACUGCGAAGGGGGGACGGAGAAGGCUAUGUUGGCCGGGCGACGGUUGUCCCGGUUUAAG